CCGGAAGAGCAAUCGGAAUGGUUGUCGACUUCACUACUAUCUGCCAAAACUUGUGAUAUUUUGCACUGAUACUCGGCAGCGCCAAGAGACAGCAUCUAAACUUACAUUGAAUAUUGGUCUGAGAAUGAUCACAAUUAUAAAAAAAUUAAUACAUGUUCAAUUCAUAAAUAAAGUCAUGAGCAUACUGAUCAUUAAUCAAAAAAAUUUAAUAUACAAUAUAUUUUAACAUAGUCAGGUGAACAGUCGUAUUAUUUAAUACAAAAAUACAUUUUAGAAUCAGUUGGCAUUUUUUCAAACUUUUACUCGCUUUAUAGGAUUUUGACGGAUUUUCAUAGGAUUGUUGUCUUCUGAUGCACAGAUAAUCAGAAAUAAUUUUAAAGAUGCAAGACAUAGUUUUACGUCAUGCAAAAAUAUUGGACAAUUUUCUGCUAUGAUGUAAUAAGGAAAUAUUGGAAUAUGAAAGCUUGAAAUUUGUUAGUCAGUGUGGCAGCGGUCUAUACUGGCGAUGAAACUGUGAGGUUUAAUUGUGUAUGCCUGUGCAUAAUUUGUAUUGUUGUUUUGAGGAGAUUGACUAGAAAACACUGAAUAAUUUGGAAGUAUAAUAGGAUCGAGCUGAGCAAGCAUUUUAUUGGAAAGAAGUUAAUGUGGAAUUUAUUUAAAUAUACUGUUAUAGUUAUGGAAUGCAUUUUACCCUUAUUUUAAAUUGCUACACCUGUGUAUCUUCAAACUGACACGUUUAGCAGCGCCUGAUUCGUCCUGAAGUGGAAAAGAACCCUUAGAAAUCAUUCUUGAGCUGGUGAAAUUGAGAGACUGGAAAAAAAGACAAUUGAAAGUUUAGGGUGUAAGAACGUUUAAAAGCUCAACAUUACUGAAGUGGAAAUUAUACAGAUUGCCUGAUUACAGAUCUUUAGCUUAUGCUGCAUUUUAAAGAAAAGAUUGAAAGCUUAGGGAUGUUGUAGUUAAAGUCUGCUCCUGAAACAGAUGGAGGAUAACAUAUCUACAAUUGUAUAUCAAUCAAAAUGACUGACCGAAAUGGGAGUAAUGUCGAUCCAGAGUACAGACCUAAUGUUAUCAAAUACCAGAAACCAAAAUCUGACAAACAGAUUAAAAAGACAAAAUUUUCUCCAGAAACUGAAAACACUGAUAAACAAAAGCUUGCUACACAACAACAACGUACUACAUAUGUCCCCGAUACAAAUUUACCACUAGCUUGCCUUGUUUGCCUCUGUUUCAAUUUCCCGCUUGGGGCUGUUGCCAUGUACUUAUCGCUUUCAGCUGCCAGACUUUAUAGGGACGGCGAUGUUAAAAAUGGAGAAAGGAGGGCAAAGUUUUCUGUGUUAUUAAGUUUGUUUAGCAUAGUUACAACCGUCCUAAUUGUCAUGUCAAUAGUUCUCUGGAUUGUGAUAGAUGAUCAAAACAAAAGGGAGCUACAGCAGUUGCAAACUUGAUUCAUGUUACGAUCAUCAGGAUGUCUUGGUAUAUAAAUGUUCGAUAUAAGGUUAACUGGAGUAAGUGCUGAGUGCUAAAUGUAUUGCUACGUUGAAAAAUCACCAUGUUGUCAAUGCAGACGCCAUAUACAGUUCCAUAUGGCAUUGGUUUAGGUAAAAUAUAUCAUAAGUAAUAGACAUUUUUGUUUAUACUAUAUGUAAGAUCAACAAAACAGCUUUUCAUAUAAAGCUAAUAUUUUUUUUCACAGUAUGAAGCAGACAGAUUUAUUAAGAAUCAAGUGAAAAUGACCAAACACUAGUAUACUAAAUAUCACUCUUCACAAUAUAUAGAUCUAAAAAAUGAACUACACUUAAUAAUUUGUACUCAGAAAAUACAUAUUGCAAUUUGCAAAAGUAAACAAGAAAUCAGAAAUAAUAAUUUUUGGAUCUUCUAUCUAACCAAAGCACAUGGUGCUAUAACUUUUGUGAUAAAUCCGUCUGCAGCUGUUGUCCAUGUAUUUUUACUUCAUAAAACUACUAUAAAACCGUAAGAAGUAGAUAAAACAUUGUUGUGCUUGGUGCGUUCUAUGUUUUUGAAAGGAUCUUGUUACAGAUUUUAUUGGAACGAAUAUUUCAUUGAUAGUCCCCUGUCAAAUAUUUUAAAACAUGUCCACAGAAAAGUUUUGAGGUAACCCCACAGUAACAUGGUUUAAAUUACUAAGAAUUGUUUAAAAACAUGCUCAAUGGCGUUGUCAGUUUUAGAAUUAAGUAUAAAUUGGUAAUGUUACAAAUUAUGUUUUUCAGAAACUACUGUUUAAGCUGUAAAACUAGGAUGAGCUAAUUAAGGGUGACUUUAAAUUCUGCAAACCUUUCAUAUCAAUGUGUAUUUUCCAAGUGUGUACAUUCUACAAGUGAUAUUUGUCUGCUUUGAUCCUAUGUAUACAAUCAACAGUAGCAUGAUGCAUUGAUUAAACAGCUGUGAAUUGCGCGAUGGCAAUAGACGAAUUAAGACUCCGUGUCAUACAGAGACAUAUCGUAAUAAAUGCUGUUUGAAACGUGCCUUUAUGGACAAGUCUUAUGACGUUUCCAGUAUAACGCAAACAUCUAAAUGAUCUUGAACAGUAAAUCCAACAGUUGUGUAUACAAGUUUCAAAAUAUUAAAUCAUUAAAAUUAAAUUCUGAAAUACUUAUGUUAUAUUAAGGUGAGAUAUAUACGUGACAUUCAAUAUCUCAGUAACACUUCCGUACUUUGUAACAUUUAUAUCAUAUGAAAGUAUCAUAUAAUAUUUAAUGUAGUUGCUAGUAACUACAUUAAUGUAUACGCCAUGAUUUAACUGCUGAUUAUAUGUACAUGGCCACAUAUCAAUGAAUAGUUUCAAUGUUAUACGUUUUUACCACCUGUCAAGUGUGUACAAUAGUUUAAGAAAAUUAUAGCAUGUAUUAUAUAAUUUGUCCUAUAAUUUAUAUAAAUAUUAUUCUAUUUUUACAAUUUGACGUCAUUCCCAGUAUAUCUUAAAUGGCUUAACAUUGUUUUCUUUCCAACAAAAUUACGAUUCCUACAAACAUUUCAAAUUAAAUAUGUGCUGGACAAUAUUUCUGUCACCUAUAUUCAAUAACAGUUCGAACUAUACUUGUAACGAAAAAAGCCGUUAUUAAAAUAGUGAAAAGUAAUAACUUUUUAGAGUUUCGAUUGAUGUAUCUCGAAAACAACUGCAUCUCGCGUUGUGGUAAAUAACUAAGAUAAUAACAUUUUAUAUCUUCUUAGCGUAUCUUAUUCCCCUUGGCUUUUUCUGUUCUGUCUUAAUAAAAACACUGUAGACAUAUAUGCCAGGAUGUAUAAAUAAAAGAUAAUUCUGUUUGACAGAAAUGAUAGUCAUUGCCAGUCACUGACUGUAAAAAUGACAAGAAAAUGUAUUUGUAGAGUAUUCAUAAAUAUUCAACAAAGGUGGUUCAUUCAUUAACGUUUUUAAUAAUUCUUUCGGGACUAAAAUUAUUUCCAACGAAAGCUACUUUUUAUUAAACUGCCUGUACCAACUCAUGUGUUUACUUGUAAAAGUUGUUUUGGUUCCGUGUUCUAUAUAAUUAGGAAACUCAAUGCCAUAUGAAUUGAAUAGUGAAAUAGUUUAAAACCACAAGUCUUUUAUAAUGUGCGAAGGUAGCUAAUUAUUAACUUCAAAUUUCCAAAGAAUAACAUCAGCAAUUAUCAUUUUCUGUGGUUAUUGCUGGUAAUAAAACAAAAAUCAUUUUUAGGUUCUGGCAAAUUAGUCAAUCAUGUGGCAUUUCUAUAUUAAACUAAUUUAUUUAGCUUAAUACCUUUGCAUCGCACGUGCUGAAGUUCUGAAAAUUAUUUAUCUACCACACGAUAUAUGAGAUAAUUAUUUGGGACUCUAGAGUGAUUCAAAUAAGCUCAAUCGAGAUAAAACAAAAUAGAAUAAAUAAAACAGGCUGAAAUAUGUACAAAUAGCAAAACAUACAUGUAUUAAUUUAAUUAGCAACGUAUUUUGCAGAAAAUGUACAGUGUAAACAUAUGUGCAGAAAUCAAUUAAGUAAUAACCUAACUACUUUGUAUGUCUGAAAACAUUUGUAUAUAUGUAUUAUAAUGUCAAUGAAUGUAUCUGUCAGUACACAUAACAAACCUUCUAUCACAACUCUUGAUUGUUGACAAUAUCUUAAAGAAAUACUCUGAGCCAACUGUUGCAAUUUCCAACGUUUUGAGAACCAUAUCAUGUGAACAAGGUAUUUAAAUACCACCAAAAUCAUUCAUGUAAUAAGAAAAGUUUGUUCAUUUUUAAGUCCUCGCGUCAUCUCUAACAGUUUUAAAAAUACACAUUCAUGUUUAACAAUCGUUUUACUUUUUUCCAUGUACUUUUUGUUCAAAUCGUUAUCAUUUUCGCGUACACUACUGUAGGUUUCGUUUGUGGGGGCUGCCUUGAAAGAACAUACGUAUUUUUAUUGGAUUUAUGCGGAGCGGAUACAAUUAUAUGAAAAUAGACAGCUGGUGUGGUGUAAUAUCUAAUUUUAGAUAAAGAAAUAAUACAUUACAAACAGUAAUUUUUUGGUUUGAUAUGAUCUUACGUCUACAAAAGAUCGCCUGUUUUGUGUGGUUUUCUGUUCCAGUGCGCCUCUAUUACGUUUGUCUCUAUGACGUAAUAAUUGUGAUUUUAUUGCAUCAUUAUACACAGUUCAUACCUUCCCUGUUUUAAAUAAAACAAAUAAAGUCGUGUUAGAAUUUAAUUUUUCUUAGAUAUGGUACGAUCGAUAUUGACGUUAAUUUAUUUUUGAAUUGGGUUUCUUACAUUACAAUGAAGUUUGUUCUUUUAUUAAUUGCAGAAAUAAAUAAGUAAAUUUGUGAUAAUUUGACUUUUAAAGAAUUAAAUAAAAAGGUAGCAGAGUUCAAUUUUGAUGCAAUUUAGAUUAUUUUGGGCAUGCCAGAUUUUGAAAACCUACCGAAGCAAAAUAUAAAGUUAGUCUGAAAAUAUCCAGUGUUGUGCUAGAAAAUUUGUCAAGUGUAUUUCACCGUACAUCGUAGAUAGAAUUCACCCAUACUCUUACAGAGUAGAUUGUUUGUCGAACGCUUUAUUAGAAAUUACGAUGUGUGAUACAAAUAUUCCAUAUAAUGUUUCACUAUCGAUGAAAUGUAACUAUGCAUGCACAAUGAUGAAAUCAAACUGUAACGUUUUGUUGUUCACAAUGUAGAAUGAUAUAAUCAAUAGUAUAUUUUGUAUUUAAGAUUACACAUUUACAAAGUGUGUGCCGUAAAGUGUUUCAUAUAUAUCGAAGUAGUAGGAGUAAAGUAUCAUCUUACUGUUUUCUCUUUUGAAGACUUUGCAUUUUGAUGUAUACCUUGAGGCAUAAGGUGAAAAUGGUACUUUCAUAUAAAAAGACACACACAGCCUCUAUUGCUUGUGCUGGAGAUUUUAUUUCAGUCAAAUUUGACACCAGUAUGAAAUUAAUAUAUAAGAGAAAUACUGUAAGAAUAUAUCUUAAAACUAACAAAAUUAUGUCAGAAAUAAAAGUUAAGGGUUGAUUUCUCGGAAGCAUAGAGCAUUUCAAACAAAUGUGAAGCCUUUAUGCAAACCAUUUAAGUAAAACAAUGACACUUUUAAUGUGCUACUUUUUGUCAAUAAUAGAGACGUUAAUGAAUCAGUGAUCAAACCAAUCAAACUCGUGCCUACAAAGUAAGUAAUGAAGCCAAGAAUGCAAGAAUAAAAGAAAAUAGUGGUUCAAAUCUGUUUUGAACUAAGACUAGAACAAGUACAUUUUUGUCGGGUUUCAGAGUCAGACCGACAAAACUUAUGAUAAUUUUCCCAACUUUUGAUGGUGAGGGAAGACCCGUGGUGCCUCUCCAUAUAUUAUCUUAUCUCGAGCUGGCACCUGGGUAGAAACACCGGUCUUCCAUAAGCUAGAUGGAUAGCUUCCUCAUAUAAAUAUGAAGACAUUUAGAACCGACGCCGGUUUCGACCCCAAGUCGGUGAAGGGCGAAUAUUUCAAAGUCUGUAACCUUAAUCAAUCAACCAAGGAGGCCCGGGGAAAUUAAGUAAAAGUAUUUGUCCUGAGCCUUUACCAAUAGCCCAAGGAAGCUCAUGUUUUUUAUGUUUGAUUAUAAACAAAAUAUUAAUGGGGGCGGAAGGGUAUUCCAGUUGAGGCUUUCUGGUAUGGAGAGAAUACCUUACAUUUCCGCUAAGCCGUACUUUUGGGUUACAUAUGUUGUUCAAGAUGCAUGUAUUGUUUGACGUGUAUAUACGCAUAUACAUAAAGCAGAACUUAGAUGAUAGUUGUUUAUAAAGAAAUUGUGAAUUCAUCAGAUUUGCUCAGUAUUUAACAUGUUUGUUUCAUGUUUAUUUGAAAAUGUAUUUCCAUAUUUUACAUUGUCAUUCCUGCAAACUGCCUUCAUUUUUGUUAUAUAAGCAAUAUAUUGUUCAUCUAUCAGUAUUAAAUUAUUUUCACAAACGU